AUGGCGUGGUGUGGACACUUGUGGAUGAGGUCUUUGAGCCUCUCCCAAGUUUCAUGAAACAUUUGCCCCUCUAAUUGGGAAAAACUAGUUAUGACUUUUCUAAUUU